rnacentral:rRNA from 1 species
AUUGAACGCUGGCGGCAGGCCUAACACAUGCAAGUCGAGCGAGCGGCGGACGGGUGAGUAAUGUCUGGGGAUCUGCCCGAUGGAGGGGGAUAACUACUGGAAACGGUGGCUAAUACCGCAUACCAUCGGAUGUGCCCAUAUGGGAUUAGCUAGUAGGUGGGGUAAAGGCUCACCAAGGCGACGAUCCCUAGCUGGUCUGAGAGGAUGAUCAGCCACACGGGGACUGAGACACGGCCCAGACUCCUACGGGAGGCAGCAGUGGGGAAUAUUGCACAAUGGGCGCAAGCCUGAUGCAGCCAUGCCGCGUGUAUGAAGAAGGCCUUAGGGUUGUAAAGUACUUUCAGCGGGGAGGCGUUACCCGCAGAAGAAGCACCGGCUAACUCCGUGCCAGCAGCCGCGGUAAUUC